rnacentral:snoRNA from 1 species
UAUUUGUAAUUGAUGAAUUUCAAUAUCUGGUAAAAACUGAUAGUUCAUUAUUAUCAAAAUUGCAGGGUUACUGAAAAAAUG